GGGUCAGUAGGUUGGUCGUGCCACCGGUACGUACUGGUCUCACUGAUUCCUCCUCCCUGAAGAACCGUAAUGCCAUUAAUUUGGUGUUGCGGGGAAACAGGACUGUUACUUUGAAAAAAUUAGAGUGUUUAUAGCAAGCUAACGCUUGAAUACAUUAGCAUGGAAUAAUGAAAUAGGACGAUCGAUCCUAUUUUGUUGGUUUCUAGGAUUGACGUA
rnacentral:rRNA from 1 species